rnacentral:sRNA from 1 species
CAUCUGGGUACUUGGAAUUGAACCCAGGUCUCUUGAAGGAGGACCCAGUGCUCUUAACUAUUAAGUCAUCUCUCUAGCUCCAACAAAUUGAGCUAUAGAUCAAAUAGAUUUCUUUUCAGGGAUAGAUUAAAGCUAGAGUCUUUGCAUAUACUAGGUAAGUGCUAUACCAUUGAGCUACAGAC